GUCCAGCCAUGCAGAUCGAUGCCAGCGACCACUGACGGUGACCUGCAACUCCACAGAGCAUGAUACUAUCUCCAUUCUGCAUGGGUGUGAGCGGACUCUAGGAUUGCAGGACACGCCUCCAGAGAGUAGACUGCCUACCUUGCUGCACCUGAGCACUGGACCAUCCCAUCUUCCUUUGUAGGCUGGCACUGAUACCCACCUCCCAGGGACUGUGAAGGAGAGACUUGGUGACAAGAGUGUGCUGGACGAUGUCACUCAGCCCUCUGAGGGGAAAGGACAUAAUGCAGAGCACUGAGUGUGUGGUGGACCCCGCUGGAGAAUCAUACUUAAGCAGGACC